rnacentral:tRNA from 1 species
AAAUAAGAAGUAAAACAAAUUACAUUUAGUUUCGACCUAAAAUUUGAUAUCAAUUAUCCUUAUUUA